rnacentral:rRNA from 1 species
CCUACGGGAGGCAGCAGUGAGGAAUAUUGGUCAAUGGGCGAGAGCCUGAACCAGCCAAGUCGCGUGAGGGAGUACUGCCCUAUGGGUUGUAAACCUCUUUUGUCGGGGAGCAAAAGCCGGACGUGUCCUGCUGUGAGAGUACCCGCAGAAAACGCAUCGGCUAACUCCGUGCCAGCAGCCGCGGUAAUACGGAGGAUGCGGGCGUUAUCCGGAUUUAUGGGGGUUAAAGGGUGCGCAGGCGGAUUUUUAAGUCAGCGGUAAAAUCGUGGGGCUCAACCCCAUCCAGCCGUUGAAACUGGGGAUCUAGAGUGUGCGAGAGGUAUGCGGAAGGCGUGGUGUAGCGGUGAAAUGCAUAGAUAUCACGCAGAACCCCGAUUGCGAAGGCAGCAUACCGGUGCACAACUGACGCUCAGGCACGAAAGCGUGGGUAGCGAACAGGAUUAGAUACCCUUGUAGUC